rnacentral:lncRNA from 1 species
CAACAUAAUAACAAAAUUCGUAAUAAAUUUAGAAAUAAAAAAGGUAAAAUUGAUAGUUUAUUAAAUAAAAAAGAGAACGAUGAGAAAAGUGGUAUUAAUGACACGCACGUGAAUAAUGGAUUAACAAUUGACGAAACGAUAGAAGGAAGUAAAAAAAAGUAUACAAAUAAACAAAAAAAUAAAGAAAAAACGAAUAAAAAAAAAAAAGACGAUGGUAAAAUAGUAGGUAUAAUGAAAGAUAGACAAAAUAGCUUAGCUAAAGAAACGGACAUAAUAGAAGUAAUAGACAAAGAGUUUACUACUGGUAUUGACACUGACAUUGACACUGGGAUUGACACUGGGAUUGACACAGGCACUGCUACUGAUAUAAAUACUGGAACUACCAACAAACUUCUAAACUUUAACCAUGAUUUAAAAAGUAAUACCAUGGAUAAUACUGACAUAGAAAAGCUAGAAAAAGCCAAUCGUAAGUUAGAAGAAGAAAUAAAAAAGAGAAAAAAAGAUAUUGAAAAAAAAAAAAAAAAAAAAAAAGACCUUACUUAUAUAUACGAAAACCAACUAAAAACGUAUGAACAAUUAAAAGAAGAAAGAAGAAAUUUAGAUUUAGUUAAUUUAUGUUUAUAUAAAGAUAUAAAAUAUCAAAAAGAAAAUAUUUGUAGUUUAAAAAAAGAAAUAAAAGAGUUGGUCAAUGACAUCAAAAAAAUAAAUUCAGAAAACAAUAUGAUUAAUAAAGAAUAUUUAAACAAAGAAAAUGAAAUUAAUUGUACAAACCAUAAAAGAAAAAAUUUGAAAUCUUUAAUUAAUAAAGAAAAAAGUGACUUAAAAAAAGAACAAAAAGAAUUAAUAAUAUUAGAAAAUAUGAUAAACUAUUUAAAAAAACAAAAAAAUAAAGCAUUGGCAAUACAAAAUAAUUUAAAAAACAGAUAUGAUAUUACUAAUUCGGACCAUCAAAUGUUAAUAAAAAAUAUGUUAUACCUACAAAAAGAUUUAAAUAAAAUUGUUAACAAACGUCUGAAUGUACAAACUAUAAAAAAUCAAAAUAUUAUUUUAUUUAAUUCAUUAUCAAAUCAAAAUUCCUUGUUAGAAAGACAAAACAAUACUCAUACUCCCCUUACAAAUGCUACUAAUACUUUACCACAAAAUUAUAAUAUUACAGAUAAAUAUUGUGCCAUCAAUGACAAUCCGAUAGAUACUAGUAACGCUACACCCAACUAUUUUUAUAAAAGAUAUGUCGUGGAUGGAAAAGGAAUACCCAAUAACCAGGUAUAAACCGCCUGUACAUACUGUAACAUGUACUGUACUACGUUUUGCGGACUUCCUAUUCUGCUUUCUUUUUUACACUUUGCUUUUUAUAUAUUACAUUUGUGGUUAUUCACUGUGUCUCUCACAUUUUUAUCGAUUCUUUUUUUUUAUGUAUCUAUUAUGCACAUACUUACACAUAUUCACACAUAUUAACACAUACUCACUCACAUACUCACUCACAUACUCACUCAC